GUUGAAUUAUGGUUUAUGAGGCAAGGGUGUGAUGAUCACUUAAUCAAGAAUUCUAUAGAUUUUUACAGCUUUUGAUUGAGCAACUUGGGCAAAAGUUGAUGCACAACUAUGCAAUCUCUCAUGGCAUUCUCUUGAUCAUAAUGUAUUGUCUUUUUCAGUCUUGCAAAACUUGUUGUAAGGUUUGGACUAAGGCCAAAACACUAUACAUAAAUGAUGUUCAAUGCAUUACAAGGUUGUCUUGGACCUCGUUCUUAUACAAAAAGGUCAUUAAGACAUGGCGAGCUACUUGGUUUAGUUGAAACGCUUAAAGAUGAAUUCGGUUUUCU
rnacentral:misc_RNA from 1 species